AUGUCUCCCACUCACUCCCAUGGACUAAUUCCUUCCCUUCCUCCCAUAUGUCUGUUCACAGAGGCAUGCUCACUGACAAAGCUGUCCAUCCCAUUGACAGCUGCUUCAGCAAAACAUGGAGCCGUUACUUACAAAAAUAAGUGGCAUGAAACAGCUAUCCAAUGUUUUCCGAUGAAAAUAAGAGGAUGUUUAAAAUAACAGUAAUUCUCCUGAAAGACUUAACAUUAUUAUUCAUACAGUACCAAGUCACAGAAUAUUCACUCUACCCAUAAAUCACACAUCACAGAGAACAGCAGUAGGACUUCAUGUUUUCCUUUCCUACCACUUCAGACCCUCUCUGAUACCACUACCCUGGUGAAAUGAUGAACACUUACAGGAAGAAAACUGCUCUACUCCCAAACCCAUUCAAUCCCUGUCAUCUUUUAGAACAUUGCAAUAGCUUGUUACAGUGACAUUUGCAAUAUGAACAGUCAUCUACAAAGGAAGAAAUCAUCAAUAUAUUUCAAGAUAUAUCCUGGAUUUAUUACGAAGUUUCAAAAUUCUGUUGACUGUCUUCUUUGUCUUUCUUCCAUUUUUUGUUUUUAAUGUCUUUUGGCUUAGAAAAAUAUCCUAGAAAUCUUACAACAUGCAGCUGGUCAAAAGUAUAUUUAAGACACUGAAUAUUCUCUAAUCAAAGCUGUGGUAAUGCUCAUCUAGCUAAAGAAUAACCCCAGUUCUCAUAUUAAAAAAUGAAACUACAUCAAUACAUCUUUUCUCCUUUCUCCACUCCAACAGUUUUCUCAUGGCAGGAAAGCAAAUGAACAACGAAAUACUGUAAAGUAUUUUGCAAAAAUCUCACAUAACUUCAUCUUGAAUCUCCCUGCUGUUCCUUAGCAGAUUGUUUCUUGGUAAACUGGGAAAGGCAGAGAUUUUUAUUUUUUAAACUAUUUUAUGCCUGCAUGAUUCUCCCCACUCCUAAAAGCCAUUAACCAUCUUCUCUGUGUCCUCUUGCAUGGCAUAAAUCAGUUAUCACUUUUUUUGUUGUUGUUUACAGCUGAAAGAAGCCAGAGACUUUCAGUCAGACAGCUACAGCAUGUCUUUAGAACAUGGAUUAGGCUACCAGACAGCAACUACACAGUACUGCUGUCCAGAGCUAACAAUUCUGUUUUUCCCUAGUAUAUUAGUAUUUUUUCCUUGAAUUCACAAUUC
rnacentral:lncRNA from 1 species